UACGUAGGGGGCAAGCGUUGUUCGGAAUUACUGGGCGUAAAGGGCGCGUAGGCGGCCUUAUAAGUCAUUUGUGAAAGCUCUGGGCUCAACCCAGGAAUUGCAAGUGAUACUGUAAGGCUUGAGUUCGGUAGAGGAGGGCGGAAUUCCAGGUGUAGCGGUGAAAUGCGUAGAUAUCUGGAGGAACACCCGUGGCGAAGGCGGCUCUCUGGUCCGAAACUGACGCUGAGGUGCGAAAGCUAGGGUAGCAAACAGG
rnacentral:rRNA from 1 species